GACGAAAGUCCAAGCUAAUUUAGGGAAUGGUCAUAGGUUUAUCAUCAAGGAAUACUUUUUCUAUUGGUAUGAUGUUUUUUGGGAAGCUCAAACCAAAGCGAUGAGAGCUUAUGCUCAAAAUGGACAAUAUCAUAUCAUUGUGGA